rnacentral:rRNA from 1 species
UUUAACUGAGCGUUCAGUUACUUGACGUAGACCCGAAACCGGGCGACCUACCCAUGAGCAGGAUGAAGCGAAAGUAAAAUUUCGUGGAGGUCCGAACCCACGAGCGUUGAAAAGCUCGGGGAUGACUUGUGGGUAGCGGUGAAAUUCCAAUCGAGCCCGGAGAUAGCUGGUUCUCCCCGAAAUAGCUUUAGGGCUAGCCUCAAGGUGAGAGAUACGGAGGUAGAGCACUGAAUGUCCUAGGGGGUAUUGCACCUACCGAAGACUAUCAAACUCCGAAUGCCGUCAUCUUAUACUUGGGAGUCAGACUGUGGGUGAUAAGAUUCAUAGUCGAAAGGGCAACAGCCCAGAUCGUCAGCUAAGGUCCCUAAAUGUAAGUUAAGUGGUAAAGGAUGUGGGAUUGCACAGACAACCAGGAUGUUGGCUUAGAAGCAGCCACUCAUUCAAAGAGUGCGUAAUAGCUCACUGGUCGAGUGAUCCUGCGCCGAAGAUUUCCGGGGCUAAAACUUACUACCGAAGCUACGGCAUCAGUAAUGAUGGGUAGGGGAGCUUCCCAUACGGGUUGAAGCAUGACCGUAAGGACAUGUGGACAGUAUGGGAGUGAGAAUGUUGGCAUGAGUAGCGAGAUGUGGGUGAGAAUCCCACAGGCCGUAAACCCAAGGUUUCCAGGGGAAGGUUCGUCCGCCCUGGGUUAGUCGGGACCUAAGCUGAGGCCGAAAGGCGUAGGUGAUGGACAACAGGUUGAUAUUCCUGUACUACCGAUAACCGUUUGAGAGAUGGGAUGACACAGUAGGAUAAGCUAAGCACACUGUUGGUUAUGUGUGCCCAAGCAUUGAGGCAGUCAAAGUAGGUAAAUCCGCUUUGAUAAUGCUGGGAUGUGAUGGGGAGCGAAAUUUAGUAGCGAAGUAGCUGAUUUCACACUGUCAAGAAAAGUCUCUAUCGAGGUUAAAGGUACCCGUACCGCAAACCGACACAGGUGGGUGAGGAGAGUAUCCUAAGGCCAGCGAGAGAACUGUUGUUAAGGAACUCGGCAAAAUGACCCCGUAACUUAGGGAUAAGGGGUGCCACCAUCAGGUGGCCGCAGAGAAUAGGCCCAAGCGACUGUUUACCAAAAACAUAGGU